AAGGUAGAGGCGCAUUUUUCAUAAGUAAUCCGCCCCAAGGCUUGCGGAAGCCGAUGACAGCGAAUAAAAGGGGAAAAUGCCGAAGUAUGUAUUUUUCCGCAGAAAUAUAUGCUGGUCAUACUGUUAACAGCCGUAUGACUGUCAUCAUAAUAUGAUGGAGUGCUAUCGUUU
rnacentral:ncRNA from 1 species